GUGGUACUUAAAAACAACCCCUAGAAUCUCCUCUUUUCCUUUAAAGGCUGUGACUAAAGUUCAAAGAGGCCAGGUCCCCUCCCUCUCCCUCCUCCUUUCUGAAUGCAGGACAGCUUGUCUGAAUUUGAAUAAAAACCUUUCAGGAUGGGAAUUUAUUUCAGGAGAGGUUCAGGAAAAAAAAAUGUUUGACAAGUUUGAAGGUUUAGGAAAAAAAUGUUUGAAGAGUUUGAAGGUUUAGGAAAAAACUUGUGUGAGUAUGAGUGUGAGUGGGUAUGAGCAUGUCUGUGUGUGUACCUACGCAUAUGUGUGCACCUACGCAUAUGUGUGUUUGCACACACGUGGGUAUGAGGGUGUGUAAAAUGUGUGUGCUUGCCUGUGAAUGCAUUUGUCUGUGUGUAGGUGUGGGUGCCUGUGUGUAGUGUGUUGGGUGAUUGUGUGGAUGGGGUGUGGGUGUGUGCCAUGUGUGUGUCUGUGAGUGUGUGUGCCUCUGUGCUGCAGCGGGAGAGGCAGCUUGGGCUCAGCCAGUGGCAGAGCAGUUAGUAGAGAACUAAUAGUGAGAAAGAGAGCUGGGGAGAGACUAGGAAGAGACGCCACCGACCUUUAACAAAAGCUCAGUUUUGUCCCUGCGGACCCAGCCGGCAGAAGGGACUGGAGAGCUGUGGCUCUCCGCCAGGGAGGUCGGGCUCCCUGCAAACAGUUGCAGGCAUCCCUGAUCAUGCCCUUUUCCCUGGGAGUCCUGAGCUUGGCAAUCGGGAAGUUUUCAAAGCUUCAGCAGCAACUGCAGCCUCGGAGAAGACCAGCAAAGACUGUGGAGUGUGUAUGUGAACUUCAAUUCUAUAUUUUCUUAUGGGGUGGGUUAAUGGAUUUUUAGUACAAAGAGAGCUAAAACUCAGCUGACCUGAAAGACUGGAAUUUCAGCUCUUCCCCUCCCUGGGCUGUUUUUCCUCCCCCUUCCUCUCAAAGCCCUUUAAAUCAGAGAUUACCGGGUCAGUGACUCUUAUCCUGCCUGCCUGCGCCAAGGGUUUCUAGCUUUUGACUUGGCAAGGAAAACCACUACCUAGAUAGAAGCAGAUCAUGCUCCAGGACUUGCUGAGCUCCAGGUCCUUCCACUGACAUGGCCCACCUCCCUGGGAUCCUGUCUCCGCAUCCUAUCAAGUGUUACCAGCUGCUCAGUAUUUACAGAUGCUCCUUGAAUUCUCUUACAAUAAACCAGGACUUUAUCUUAUGAGGUUGCACUCAAUACCACAGUCUUUUCUUUCCAAGGUCUAAAUUUCUUGUUAGCAUAAUUUUUUUUUUCCAUUUUGUAAAUUAUAAGCCAAAGUCAUUGAGUGGUUAUGAUAAUUUCAGAGGGGAUCAGAAUUCCCAGAUGAUUCAUCCAAAUGUUCAAAUGUUGUUGAGUGUUUCCUAUCAAAUCCUGUUUAUUGCCUAGAUUUGAUUUUAUUUGUUUCCAUAAAAGUGAUUCUUCUUGAAAAAACAAUGUAACAUCCAAGAGUAAUGCUUUAGUUCUGUUUUGUAUAAAUCUUCUCUUUUGCUAUCAUGUGGUAGGAUGAAAUAUUUUGUCAGUAGGCAUUAGUGGCUGUUGUGAAACCAAAAAGUAAUGUUUGUAGAGAGCCCUUUUGAAUAUUAAAUCAGAGUGGUAUAGUAGGAAAAAAGAAUGGCCUUUGAAUAAAUUUCAGUUGGGUUCCAAUCCUAGGCUGUAAUGUUCUUUGGUUUUAUGAUGUUGGCCAAGUUACUUACCAGUGUCCUUGGGAGUAAAAUAAAUGUGUUGAUGCUUACCUUCCAGGUAUUUAGAAGGGCUAAAUGACAUUUGGAAAGCACUCAUCAUGGUAUAUGACAUGCAGUUGGUUCUCACUAAAUAUUUCUUCUUUAGAAGAGGGCUAACAGGUAUGAAGGCUGGAAAGCACUGAAUGCGUGACAAGCCACUCAGUUUAUAGGUCAGAGGGGAAAUGGGAAAUCGAGCUUUCUUCCAGGCCUCAAAGACUGGGCAGGACAGAUAUCUGUCCACCACUUCCUCAGCCUUUACCUCUGGGCAGCAGCCUUGUUCUCCCUUGGUUCCUUCUUCCAGGUUAAGAAUAAGCAUGAAACAAAUUCAUGAGCUCAGAGAUCACCAAAGGGAUUCACAGAAAGAGAACAAAGGCAAUGUGAAAAUCAUUCUGUCCUUUUCUACCAGACCCUUAAGAGUUAGAGACUUGGACAGCCGUUUCAGAUACAUAUAUAAGGAGAGGAAUCAUUUCGUUUCUCUUGGGGUUUUUGCCCUACUGUAGCAGGCAGCCCAACCUCAAGGGGGAGUAUUUGUUUCACAUUUUGAAACUCCAGUUGCCCUGUGGUCAGCCUAUGAGCUGUCACCAAAUGGAAAGACACAGCCAUUCAAACAUGUGGUGUGAGUACUCUCUAUCCCUGUCUUUCUUGCUCUUCUAACCAGUUUUUCUUUCAAGUCCAAAGUUUAAACUGGAAUAAGUUAGUCUCUCAACUUAUAUCUAUGGACCUCCUCUGCACCAAGUCCAGUGACCAAAACUGGAGAUAAUUUGAGUGAGCAGAACAAUCAUGGUUAUUAUCUUCAAAAAGCUUUCAGGCUAAGGUCAAGGGCAGACAUGUUUUCAAUGACUGCAAAUAAACAGAUGCCUGUAGGUGCGCAUUGUGUGGUAAGGGUAUUGCAGGAUUCUACACAAGCAGUUAACCUAGUUUGGGAGGUUGAUACCUGGAGGAGGGGUAGAAUUUAGCCAAAUGUAGUGGUAGGCAGGAGAGGGGAAAGGGCAUUCUUAGCAGAGAGGACAGCAUGAACAAACCAUGGAAAGGCCUGGAAUGGGGAGUGCCACAAGUUUAGGAAAGAAAUGAAAACCUGAGUGACUAGCUUGUCAGUGGCAAGGAGGAGGAGUUGUGUGAGGAGAAGCUGGAGAGAUGGCAGGGGACAACUACACAGGGAAAUCCAGUCUCGCAGUUAAAGGGACCCCAGAAAGUACCUAACCUACACUCGCUCCCUGAGAGAAAGAACCUUUCUGAUGUCUGUACCUCAGCCCUUGCUGUUAUUGGAUGGCUUUGAAGGAAAGUUCUUUCUAAGAGGAACCCAUCCUCCUCGUUCUGUAUAUGGGAACCACAGAAUAAAGUCAUUCCUCUGGCAGGCAUUUGAAGACAACUUUUUUUCAUAAAUUAUUGCUCAAGUAAAUCUUCUCUGUCCCAUACAUAUGCAGUUGAUGUUUUGGAAUGUAAAUUUAUAUGUUUGUGUUUGUUGAAAGUGAGCUUGGUGGCUUCAGUUCAUCAUUCCAGCCUCCAUUAUCUAAGAUAUACAUCUUGACUAUGUCCUCAGUGAUAACAGUUAACCUUUCUGGAUUUUUGCUGUCUGUGAAUUGGAUAAGCUAAUCUCUUUAUCUUUGUUUAGGAAUUUGGAAAAUUGUUGAACCAGAGGGUGCCAAGAGUGGUGCUAUGGGCACCAUCCAAGAUGUUUCUCACAGCAAUGUCCAAGUGUAAAUGAGGAGAACUCAGCAGUGCUAGUGUGAGCUGAUCUUGAUCUGACAAGAGUGCUAAAUGCACAGUUCAACUAUAAUCACUGAUUUCAUUUGUCGAUAGUGUGUUGAGUACAUAUCACACAGAGCAGAGAGUUCUGUCCUCCUGCUUUGAAAAACAUAGUCACACAAUUGUGUAGGAUGUGAUACAUGCCCCAUGAUGGGUUUAAGUAAAGUGUGACUUUUCUGCAAUAGCAGGAAGAAAAUCUUUCCAAAUGGAAUGAUGAGGUCUUAGGACAUCUUGAAGGAGGCAGUUCACAAGGCACUGUGGGAAGGAUUUUAAUAAGAAUGGAAGCAAAGACAUUCCAGGUAGGGCAGACAUGAGGAAGGGCAUACAGGUGAGAAUGUCCAGCAAGACCCAGUGAUGUGUAACUGAGGUUGCAGGAGGGGGAGGCCUGUGGUCUGAGGAUACAGGAACCUAAAGGUGCUGGCCAGAGAUCAUGGAAGCAGCCAUGUAGUGGGAAGCCAGGUGAGGUCAGACUUUAAAGAGUAGUGUAUUUUCAAUGAUACUAUAUGACCAAGAGAGAACAAAGCAGGAUGGAGAGAAAAGGAAGAGAAGAUAAAGGAGAAAGAGCAUUUGUCAGGUAGAAAGCGAAACGGGAAGUGUGUUGAGUCACAGGAACGGAAGUGUAUUGAGUCACAGAAGCAAUUAUGCAGAAAGUGUGGGUGGAGGGCAUUGUUGGGCACUAUAGAGAUCGGAAUGGACUGUUUAGAGAUCGGAAUGGACUGAUCAUCAGAAAGAACUGUUCAGAGAAAAGUUCAGUUUGCUGUCUCCAUUAGGCAGUCACGGGCAGCCUUUGAGACAGCUAUUUUGUGGGCUGGUAGUAAUUUCCUUUUAGGAAAUACAAGGCUGGUGAAGGAGUGGGUAGAGAUACGUUUAUUUGGCUGUGCCAGUUCUUAGUUACGGCAUGUGGGACCUUCAGGCUUGGUUGCGGCACACAGGCUCUUUCAGUUGCAGCGUGUGGACCCUAGUUCCUUGACCAGGGAUUGAACCUCGGCCCCCUGCAUUGGAAGUGCAGAGUCUUAGCCACUGGACCACCGUGGAAGUCCUGAGACAAUGUUUCAAGGAGAUAGUAUUGUUGGUCACGAUGAGGUAUAUAAUGGGAAAGGGGCAAAGUAAAUUCUUG
ensembl:lncRNA